rnacentral:tRNA from 1 species
GCAUCGAUGGUUCAGUGGUAGAAUGCUCGCCUGCCAAACUGUUAGCAGUUCGCGGGCGGCCCGGGUUCGAUUCCCGGUCGAUGCA